rnacentral:rRNA from 1 species
AAUCAACGCUGGCGGCGCGCUUAACACAUGCAAGUCGAACGGGAAAGCGGGAGCAAUCUCGCAAGUACAGUGGCGUACGGGUGAGUAACACGUGGGUAAUCUACCCUUUAGUGGGGAAUAACCCUGGGAAACCGGGGCUAAUACCGCAUAAUCCCGAGAGGGGAAAGGAGCAAUCCGCUGAAGGAGGAGCCCGCGGCCGAUUAGCUAGUUGGUGGGGUAAGAGCCCACCAAGGCAAAGAUCGGUAGCCGGCCUGAGAGGGCACACGGCCACACUGGCACUGAAACACGGGCCAGACUCCUACGGGAGGCAGCAGUGGGGAAUCUUGCACAAUGGGGGAAACCCUGAUGCAGCGACGCCGCGUGAACGAUGAAGCCCUUCGGGGUGUAAAGUUCUUUCGGCAGGGACGAAAACUGACGGUACCUGCAGAAGCAGCUGCGGCUAACUACGUGCCAGCAGCCGCGGUAAUACGUAGGCAGCGAGCGUUGUUCGGAGUUACUGGGCGUAAAGGGUGCGUAGGCGGCCUCUUAAGUUUGGUGUGAAAUCUCCCGGCUUAACUGGGAGGGUGCGCCGGAUACUGAGAGGCUUCGAGUGCGGGAAGGGAAAGUGGAAUUCCUGGUGUAGCGGUGAAAUGCGUAGAUAUCAGGAGGAACACCGGUAGUGCAAACGGCUUUCUGGACCGUAACUGACGCUGAGGCACGAAAGCGUGGGGAGCAAACAGGAUUAGAUACCCUGGUAGUCCACGCCCUAAACGAUGCAUGUUUGGUGUGGGUGAUUCAGUUCAUCCGUGCCGGAGCUAACGCGUUAAACAUGCCGCCUGGGGAGUACAGUCGCAAGGCUGA